UUGCCUACGGGGGGCAGCAGUGGGGAAUAUUGGGCAAUGGGCGCAAGCCUGACCCAGCAACGCCGCGUGAAGGAAGAAGGCUUUCGGGUUGUAAACUUCUUUUCUGGGGGACGAACAAAUGACGGUACCCCAGGAAUAAGCCACGGCUAACUACGUGCCAGCAGCCGCGGUAAUACGUAGGUGGCAAGCGUUAUCCGGAUUUACUGGGUGUAAAGGGCGUGUAGGCGGGACUGCAAGUCAGAUGUGAAAAUUAUGGGCUCAACCCAUAACCUGCAUUUGAAACUGUAGUUCUUGAGUACUGGAGG
rnacentral:rRNA from 1 species